GAUGAAGAACGUAGCGAAAUGCGAUAAGUAAUGUGAAUUGCAGAAUUCAGUGAAUCAUCGAAUCUUUGAACGUACAUUGCGCCCGCCAGUAUUCUGGCGGGCAUGCCUGUUCGAGCGUCAUUUCAACCAUCAAGCCCCAGGCUUGUGUUGGGGACCUGCGGCUGCCGCAGGCCCUGAAAACCAGUGGCGGGCUCGCUGUCACACCGGGCGUAGUAGAUUUUAUCUCGCUCAGGGCGUGCUGCGGGUUCCGGCCGUUAAAAAGCCUUUUUUACCCAAGGUUGACCUCGGAUCAGGUAGGAAGACCCGCUGAACUUAAGCAUAUCAAUAAGCGGAGGA
rnacentral:misc_RNA from 1 species